CUGCAGCUGGUUUUCCUGAUGUGCACUCAGCUGUUCCCAUAAUCAGAGGAGCUCAGUCUUCGCCGUCACCGGGAAUGGCUGCUGGUCUUUGCCUUGAGCGUGUCUAGCUCCAGUGCAGACCCCUCAGCCUGGUGGCAUGGACCCUUCAGCCUGCUGGAGCAGGCUUUCUAUUUUGUACCACUGGCCUUUCGGCCUUCCUGAUGCAGAUCCUUGAUACAGACUUGCAGGAGACAUUGCCGUGGGCUCUAGGGUUGUGGCUGGAUUCAUGGAGGACAUUGCUGUGGGAUCGCGGCCUCAGACAGAUCUCUUGCACUCCUCUGCAUUUGAUUUUUUUGGGAGAAUCGAAUGCCCCCACUUACAGCAGGCAGAGCUCAGGCAGAAAGGCAAGCAUGGGAGCAGCUGUAAAUACAGACUGUCUUCAACUACAGCAGAGAAGCCCUGUUGGAGACAGAGAAGGUGGGAUUUAUUUAUGGUGCUGAGGAUUGAACCUAGGCCCUUUGCACUGAGCAAUGUCCCUAGCCCUUUUUAAUUUUUUUUUGAGAUAAGGUCUUGCAAAAUUGCUAUUUUCCAGGCUGGGCUUGAACUUGUGACCUUCCCACUCAGCCUCCAGAGUGCGGGGAUCACAGACAUGCACCACCACACUCAGCCAGGUGGGUCAGUUAAAAAAAGGGUAGUCUGAGAGCUCCAAGUAGCCCUUCAUUCAUCUAGUUAACUAACAUUUAGAGCACCUACUAUGUCUAGGUACCAUGCCCUACCGGAAGGCUGAAAUGAAUAGAACAUGGGCUUUCUCUUGAAGAACUCUAUAGUCAAAGAAACCUCAAACUAAAUUCCACCAGACAUAACAGAUUUGAGCUGGGAGUGGUUAUACAACCCUGUAAUCCCAGUACUCAGGAGGCUGAGGCAGGAGAACUGCUGUGAGUUUGA